UACGUAGGCAGCGAGCGUUGUUCGGAGUUACUGGGCGUAAAGGGUGUGUAGGCGGUUUUCUAAGUUUGGUGUGAAAUCUCCCGGCUCAACCGGGAGGGUGCGCCGAAAACCGCGCGGCUAGAGUCCGGAAGAGGAGAGUGGAAUUCCUGGUGUAGCGGUGAAAUGCGCAGAUAUCAGGAAGAACACCAAUGGCGAAGGCAGCUCUCUGGGACGGUACUGACGCUGAGACGCGAAAGCGUGGGGAGCGAACAGG
rnacentral:rRNA from 1 species